CUGAAAUUCAUAUGAAUGAUAACUUUUGUUGUGCUUGUUGAACUUAAGUGCUGAUUAAAUAAAAACAUUGUAAAAAACUUUGUUUUGUCAAACAUCACAUUUGUGUUUGAUAUACGUAUAAAUGAAUGUGUGAUUUGUGUGUCUCUCUAAAUGUAAUGAUUAACACUCUUUUAGGAUCUAUUUGUGUGUGGAAAAAAAGUUAUAGGCCUGAUGGCUAAUUUAAAUUGUUAAUGCCAUUUUUUUUUUAAUCUUUAAGUGUUACUUUGGUGUUAAAUUUGAAAGCAGAAAUAAUAACACUGAUGCUGUGAAGAACCAGAUCUAAUAAGAGGUUUGUGGUUUUAAUGCAGUUGAGACUUGUGAAGAAGAGAUCACUUAUGCCGAGACGACAUUCUACAAAAGAAACGCACAGAAAACGAAAGUCGAAGAGGAUCAUGUGGAAUAUGCACCAAUCAAAAUCAGAAGAUGAUCAAACUUUAAUGUUGUUCUAAGUACUAGACUAUUGUCUGAUCAUUGGGAACCUCCUGCAACGACCUCAGACACUGUGAUCUAUGGAUGAGCAUUUUCACUGCAGCUUUUCAUGUUUGCAAAACAUAGAUGCAAACUAUCCAUCAAAAGGUGAUAAAGUAAACUCUGCUGUGGUACUGAUUAUUUAUAUCUGUACAGAAAUGUGGUUUGAUCUGUGCAUGAGAAUGUGUCUGCUGCUGGAUGCUUGCAUUUGAUGUCAGUUUGUUAGUGUGUCUGAGGUGUCAACAAUACGUCUGUGUGAGCGUGUGAUGGUGAGAGUGUGUGUGUCUGAGGUGUCAAUAGUGUGACGGUGUGAGUGUGUCUGAGGUGUCAGUCUGUGUGAUCAGCAUGUCGUUGCAAGGAUUUUUUCAUUUAUGCUCACAUGAAACCUUUGCCUACUUUACUACAAAAUACUAAAAUCAGUAAAAUGGAUUUAUUUUUAUCAUUUUCAAAUUUUCCUUGAGUUUUUUUCAACCCUCAUUCCGAACCUUUCUCAGAAAAAGCCUGUUUUUAUGGGGCGGGUCCUUUAAGGCUUCUCAGUAAUCGGCCGCUGUUAUUAUUGGUUAACAUCAAACAGUAUCAACGCCCCCUCGCUACUGCAUGUUUUGAGUGUUUUGAUAAAGCGAAUGUUCUUUUACUCAGUUUUCCUGAUUGUCGACAGACUCGAGCGUGUGGACUGUGUCAGAAAGUGAAUGCGCAUCUCUAUACUGUAUCCAGUGUAGACAAGAUGGCAGCAGUGACUGCAAUUUCGGUUUGCUUUUGACGCGAUGUGACACUCACAUUCAGUGUGAUAGCGUUAGUGACUGAAUGCCGGUGGGCGGGGCCUAGGUUGAGGUCUUGCUCUUGGGGCGGUGUUUAUUCAAAUCUUUGUGCCCGGAUGACAUCACCUUUUCCCACUGUAUCCAAAGCGACGUGACAUACAGCCAAGUAUGGUGACCCAUACUCAGAAUUGGUGCUCUGCAUUUAACCCAUCCAAAGUGCACACACACAGCAGUGAACACACACACACCAUAAACACACAUCCGGAGCAGUGGCCAGCUAUUUAUGCUGCAGUGGCCAUCUAUUUAUGCUGCGGCGCCCGGGGAGCAGUUGGGGGUUCAGCUCCUAGCUCAGGGGCACCUCAGUCGUGGUAUUGCCGGCCUGAGACUCGAACCCACAACCUUAGGGUUAGGAGUCAAACUCUCUAACCACUAGGCCACGACUUCCCAGCUUGAUUAGAGCUUGAUUAAAUAAAUGCUUUGUUAAUAAUGAGGAGGAUGUUUAAGCUAUGAAGCUUGCAGGAUGUUUAAAUGGUACAGAUACCUCUUAUAAGAAAAAAGAUCAAGGCAAUUUUGAUUUCUCAUGUCAUGACUCCUUUAGUGCUGAUUUUUGACAAAAGGGUCCCAAUCAAACAGUGAUAUUCAGUGUGAAAAAAAAUCAAAUAUUAUAUACUUUGUGUGCAUGAUGAUCUCAUACAAGUGAUCCGGCAGUACUACACUCUCAGAAAAAAAGGUACAAAAGCGGUCAUGUGCAGUACCUUUUCAAGUACCUUAAAGGUGCCAUGUGUAAAAAUUGAGGUAAAAAUAUCCAAAAAAUGACCUACACGCAUCAAAAGAAUGAGAAGAAAUAAGGGCUAUGAUGUCAUUAAAAAAAUGUCAAGUUAUAGUGCUGCAGAGAUAUCAACCUUAAUUAGCAUUAGCAUUACUAGCCACGGCCCGACAGGUGUCGUAAUACCAGUUUCGGCCAUGGGAGGCGAUAUGCGGGCAACAUAACCACCAGCCAACCUGCAAUACACGAAUAACUCGCACGGCUUGUGGGCGUACUGGAACCUGAUGUCAAGCAACCGCGCUCGGAAUCACAAAUCAAAUCGACUCCGAACUUGCAACAUUUCUUUUGGAUUGGUAAGUAAGAUGCUGUUAGUAUUUCGCUAGAAGUUUGUUUUAUAUGUUUGCGUAUUUUUUUCGGGAAGUUAUAACAUAGAAAUGUAUCGAAGGCUGUUCGAUAAACGUGCUAAUGUUAGCGAUGGCUAACCGUAGCUGCGUUUGAUAGUAAGCUAGCUAUAACUUACCCACAGAUCCGAUCCGGUUUUCACCUGUUAUCUACCAAAGCCCGUCUCUACCAAGCUGAUGCUAAAAUGUAACAUUACCUAAGAAGCUUGAAAUGUCUUCGAUGAUAAUGAACCCGAGAGAGAGAGAGAGAGAGAGAGAGAGAGAGAGAGAGAGAGAGAGAGCGCCCCGGCCACUCACUCACUAUAUUCAGAGCGGUCAAGUUUUUGAAAGCGUGUGAAAAGAGUCAAUUGCGUGUGUCUCACGGUGAAUGCUUGAGAGUUGGCAGCUCUGGUUACGUUGGUUGGCGCUAGCUUGGUCAACAUCAGCUGUCUGAUGUUGACCAAUGAUGUUGACAGAAUGCUGUCUGUCAAAUUAAUUUAAUUCAAAUAAUGUGUAUAUACUAUUCAAAAUGUAAUAUGAACAAAACGAAUAUGAACAUAUUCACUGGUAAAGGUGAAGGGGAGUAGCUUGAAGAUGUCAUGUUUCAAAAUCACUUGACAUCACCCAACGUUCCUCUGGAGGCAAAACGUCCUCUUAGGCUUCGGCUAUGGCUCUAGGGUUGUUGUGAAGGUAGGGGCGGAGCAUAGAGACUAUGCCGUUUCUCGUUUGUUACUCUAGAGUAGACCAAUUCACUUUAUUGAGGCAUACUGCCCCCAUCUGGUAUGGAAUGUGGAGUAUGACUUGAUUUUUUUGCCAGACAUUACACAUGGCUCCUUUAAAGGUGCAUUUAAGUACCUAAAUGGGCAAAAAGGUGAUGCACCAGCUUACCUUUUUUUCUGAGUGUAGUUUCAGUAGUUUCAGUAGUUUCAAAUCAUGCUAAGCAGAAUACAUCAUCUUGAGUGUUUUUUUUGUUUGUUUUUUUUUUUAAUAAAGGUAUAUCCUGCUCUUUCUGCCAGUGUCUGGGUCAUUUAAUGAAUAAAUUCAAUGUAUAAUUUACAAUUUAUGAUUUGUUCUUGAUGGUGGUAAAUCAUUUCAUUUAUUUGCAACAGCUUUGUUGAGAAACUAACAAAGCAGUAU
ensembl:lncRNA